UAAAAAUGGAAAUAAAUAUUUAUGUAUAAAUAUGGUACUCAGAGUUUAGAAAUUAAUCAGUUUUAAUCAGAAAGCAAAAAAAUGAAAAUUUGUCUCUGGCUUAUACUACUUGCUGUUUUCACCACAACUAUGGCCCAGUACAUGCCGCCGAUUUUCCCUCGAAAAGUCCUUUCUGACGAUAAACCUGCUACUGCUAAGCCCAGAGCAAGUGGUACACCAGCAGCUGGAGGAAAAGAAACUGCACCAAAAUAAAUUUCUUAAACAUUAGAAAACAGAUAAUAAAUAAACAAAUAUAACUUUA